UACCGGCAAGCCAGAGCAAACGAUGACGACGGAGCGAUAGCGGGUCCAUCGUAUCACCACCAUCGUCAGCAGGAAGAUGACCUCGUACAGCCCGAGAAUCAGCUGGGGGUGUAUCCGAUGGAUGCUCGACAGGAGGAGGAGGAGGAGGAGGGGGAGCGUCUAAACGAGGAGCGAUUAGAAGCUAGACGCUUCGGCCUAUGGUUUCAAGAGCUGAUGGAGUGUGAUUCAGGGUACUCGUCAGCUGACUCGUCAGCUAUCUCGUUAUAGGCGUACCGCGAUUAGUACGAGAUAUACAAACGGGC